rnacentral:rRNA from 1 species
UGGGGAAUUUUGCACAAUGGGGGAAACCCUGAUGCCGCGACGCCGCGUGAUUUAGAAGGCCUUCGGGUUGUAAAAAUCUUUUCUAUGGGAAGAAAAUGACAGUACCAUAGGAAUAAGGACCGGCUAAUUACGUGCCAGCAGCCGCGGUAAUACGUAAGGUCCGAGCGUUGUCCGGAAUCAUUGGGCGUAAAGGGUACGUAGGCGGGUAAGCAAGUUAGAAGUGAAAUCCUAUAGCUCAACUAUAGUAAGCUUUUAAAACUGCUCAUCUUGAGGUAUGGAAGGGAAAGUGGAAUUCCUAGUGUAGCGGUGAAAUGCGCAGAUAUUAGGAGGAAUACCGGUGGCGAAGGCGACUUUCUGGCCAUAACCUGACGCUGAGGUACGAAAGCGUGGGUAGCAAACAGG